GUCGCGAAAACUCUGCAAUACACGAAAGUGUGACAGGGCUACCCCGAGUGCCGUCCGCUGAGGAUGGCUUUUAUCCAGUCUAGAUAGCUGGGGGAAUAAGGAGAGGGCAAGUCUGGUGUCAGCCGCCGCGGUAAUACCAGCUCUCCGAGUGGUGGGGAUGAUUAUUGGGCCUAAAGCAUCCGUAGCCGGCUGGGCAAGUCCCCUGUUAAAUCCACCGAUUUAAUCGGUGGAUUGCGGGGUAUACUGCUCGGCUAGGGGACGGGAGAGGUCGACGGUAUUUCCGGGGUAGGGGUGAAAUCCUAUAAUCCCAGAAAGACCACCAGUGGCGAAGGCUGUCGACUAGAACGCGCCCGACGGUGAGGGAUGAAAGCUGGGGGAGCGAACCGGAUUAGAUACCCGAGUAGUCC
rnacentral:rRNA from 1 species